rnacentral:pre_miRNA from 1 species
GUAGUAUUCCCUCCAUCCCAAAAUUCUUGUCUUACAUUUGUUUAGAUACAGAUGUAUCUAACACUAAAAUGUAACUAGAUACAUCCGUAUUUAGACAAAUUUAAGACAAGAAUUUUGGGACGGAGGGAGUACNCA